rnacentral:rRNA from 1 species
UACAGAGGGUGCAAGCGUUGUCCGGAAUCAUUGGGCGUAAAGAGUGUGUAGGCGGCUUGGUAAGUCCGCUGUGAAAGUCCAGGGCUCAACCCUGGAAUGCCGGUGGAAACUGCCAAGCUCGAGUCCGGAAGAGGCGAGUGGAAUUCCUGGUGUAGCGGUGAAAUGCGCAGAUAUCAGGAGGAACACCAAUGGCGAAGGCAGCUCGCUGGGACGGUACUGACGCUGAGACGCGAAAGCGUGGGGAGCAAACAGG